rnacentral:misc_RNA from 1 species
GAGUGGUGAUUGACAUGUAUGGGUGCGUUGGAUCACUGCUUGGGUAGUGACAACGUUUCUUGCUUGUCUCUUCAGUUGUUGGCAAAAGGCACUAUUAGCCUUGGCCGAAUGUUGUUUUCCUGUGCUAUAUACCCAUUACAAGGGCAUUCAAUUUGCUCAAUUGCAUUUGUUUGCUUCGUGUUACUUCUCUUCGGAUUUUGGCAUGUAGUGAACAUUAAGGCAUUUAUUGUGUUCCACUUUUCAUGCAUGCACAUGCUUGGAUUGUUGGGCCAUGAUCCUUGCUCGAUCUCUCGGUUGCGGAAUACCUAAUGGGCACGAGGCACUAGUCUCUAUUAGGCCCUCAUUCAGUGUUUAACGCUACGUGCGAAAGACGAUUGUGGCCGUUUUGAUUAGGUCUUUAUGGCUUGGCUCAUACGGUGCCCAAUGUCGAUGAUGAAUGCUACCUGGUUGAUCCUGCCAGUAGUCAUAUGCUUGUCUCAAAGAUUAA